AGUGUUUAAGGAAGGUCCAGCCUGCCCAGUGACUACUAGUUUAACGGCCGCGGUAUUCUGACCGUGCAAAGGUAGCGCAAUCACUUGUCCUUUAAAUAAGGACCUGUAUGAAUGGCUAAACGAGGGCUUAGCUGUCUCCCUUUUCCAGUCAGUGAAAUUGAUCUAUCCGUGCAGAAGCGGGUAUGAAAAUACAAGACGAGAAGACCCUUUGGAGCUUAAGGUACAAGACUCACCCACGUUAAACAAGCCUUUAAAGCAGCAAACCUAGUGAGAGAUGAGACCUUACCUUCGGUUGGGGCGACCACGGAGGAAAACCCAGCCUCCAAGUGGAUUGGAUAAUAUCCAAAACCAAGACACACACUUCUAAGUAACAGAACAUCUGACCAAAAAUGACCCGGCCACAAAAGCCGAUUAACGAACCAAGUUACCCAAGGGAUAACAGCGCAAUCCUCUUCCAGAGUUCAUAUCGACGAGGGGGUUUACGACCUCGAUGUUGGAUCAGGACAUCCUAAUGGUGCAGCCGCUAUUAAGGGUUCGUUUGUUCAACGAUUAAAGUCCUACGUGAUCUGAGUUCCAGACCGGA
rnacentral:rRNA from 1 species